rnacentral:lncRNA from 1 species
CCGAUUGUUGUAAAUUUCUACCAUUAGUGUCUUUCCAAGCCUUUUAAAUGUUCAAGAAGUUUCAAUCCAAUCUAACUUAUAGGUUGCAGGAAAAUGCCGUUAAUCCACACUGAUAUAUCUUGACUGCCGCCUAAAAGUCCUCGACUUACCAUGCCAAAAGUCACCUUAUUUUAAUCGGUACAUCUCUAAAUAUUAUAGAAAUCCUAAACAACCCCAAUCUAC